rnacentral:miRNA from 1 species
AAACGGAUCCGUAACUUCGGGAA